GCUCAGUGACAGAGUAGUUCAAUCUGUAGUGCACGAGACUCUUCAUCUCAAGGUCAUGGGUUUGAGACCCAUGUUGGGCA